GAUUUCAACUGAAAAAGUCAUCAACAUCAAAGUUGUAUAACUCAUCAAUAUCUAUAACUUUUAUUUUAGUUAUUUCUUCAUUCGGUAAAGGGAUAGUAACAUUGUUCACAAAAUUAAUAUAUCUAUCUUAUAGUUUAUAAACUAUAUAAGAGAUAUGUAUAUUUUGUGAACAUUGUUAUAAAUCGUUUUGUCGGAUGAAGAAAUGACCCAAAUAAAAGUUAUAGAUCUUGAUGAGUUAUACAACUUUAAUGUUAAUGAACUUUUCAGUUAAAAUC
rnacentral:pre_miRNA from 1 species